UAAUACGGAGGGUGCAAGCGUUAAUCGGAAUUACUGGGCGUAAAGCGCGCGUAGGUUGUUAGUUAAGCGAGAUGUGAAAUCCCCGGGCUUAACCUGGGAAUUGCGUUUCGAACUGGCUGACUAGAGUACGGUAGAGGGUGGUGGAAUUUCAGGUGUAGCGGUGAAAUGCGUAGAGAUCUGAAGGAACAUCAGUGGCGAAGGCGACCACCUGGACUGAUACUGACACUGAGGUGCGAAAGCGUGGGGAGCAAACAGG
rnacentral:rRNA from 1 species